CGUGUUUACUCGUCAAUGGCGUCGUCGUCGUGUCACAGCUACUUUAGUGUCACUCCAUUUCUCAUCUCCGAGACGAACUUCUCUUCUCGUGAAUCGACGAUCCUUCUCCGUCUCUGCGACUAUGGCUUCACAUUCUAAGAAGGUUUUGAUUCCCGUUGCGCACGGUACGGAGCCGUUCGAAGCGGUGGUGAUGAUCGAUGUGCUGCGGCGAGGCGGCGCGGAUGUAACGGUGGCCUCCGUGGAGAAUCAGGUUGGCGUCGAUGCGUGCCAUGGGAUCAAGAUGGUGGCGGAUACUCUUCUCUCUGAUAUCACCGACUCCGUUUUCGACCUUAUCAUGCUCCCUGGAGGACUACCUGGGGGAGAGACUCUUAAGAACUGUAAAGCUCUGGAGAAUAUGGUCAAGAAACAAGACGCAGAUGGACGGCUUAACGCUGCUAUCUGUUGUGCCCCGGCGUUGGCGCUUGGUACUUGGGGUCUGCUAGAGGGUAAAAAGGCGACAUGUUACCCAGUUUUUAUGGAGAAGCUAGGAGCAACAUGUGCAACAGCUGUUGAGUCGAGAGUGGAGAUAGAUGGGAGGAUAGUGACCAGUAGAGGGCCUGGAACUACUAUGGAGUUCUCUGUCGCCCUUGUGGAGCAAUUGUUUGGGAAAGAGAAAGCUGCUGAAGUCUCUGCUCCAUUGGUGAUGCGUCCCAACCCUGGUGAUGAGUACACUAUUACUGAGCUUAACCAAAUAAAGUGGUCGUAUGAGAAUACCCCACAGAUUCUUGUGCCCAUUGCAGAUGGCUCUGAGGAAAUGGAAGCUGUUGCAAUCAUUGAUGUUCUGAGACGGGCAAAAGCAAAUGUUGUCGUUGCUGCGCUUGGUAACAGUUUGGAAGUGGUAGCAUCUCGUAAAGUCAAGCUAGUGGCAGAUGUGCUUCUCAAUGAGGCUGAAAAGAAUUCAUACGAUCUGAUUGUGUUGCCUGGUGGUCUCGGUGGUGCUGAAGCAUUUGCAAGUUCGGAGAAGCUAGUGAAUAUGUUAAAGAAGCAGGCGGAAUCAAACAAACCAUAUGGAGCUGUUUGUGCAUCUCCUGCUCUGGUCUUCGAGCCACACGGUUUACUCAAGGGUAAGAAGGCGACAGCUUAUCCACCAAUGUGCAACAAAUUGUCGGACCAGAGUCACAUCGAGCAUAGAGUAUUGGUGGACGGUAAUCUCAUAACGAGCAGGGGCCCUGGAACAUCGUUGGAGUGUGCACUCGCAAUCGUGGAGAAGUUUUAUGGUCGCGAGAAAGGACUUCAGCUCUCAAAGGCAACUCUUGUGUAAACUCAGCCAAGUGAGUAUCUAAGGUUAGAGUGACUUUAAUAAGAAAAAGGCUUUAGUAUGAAGCUAUCGAUGCGUGGACCUUUAUUGUAAUGUGCUUUGCGCUGAGUGAUGCUUAAUCAUGUCUUAUAAAUAAAAAGAGGAGGCUACUCUGUUUUUAUCAGAAGUUUCUUUUGCUUCAGUGUUCUGUCAGUUGUCACUCUAGUUUGUGUAAGAAACUGAGAAUUAGUUUAAUGAAAUCUGCAUGAGUUAAAGUA